AACGCACAUUGCGCCCGCUGGAACUCCGGCGGGCACGCCUGUCCGAGCGUCAUUUCAACCCUCAGGCCCCCCUUCGCGGGCGGGCCUGGUGUUGGGGCCCGGCCGCUACCCUGCGGCCGUCCCCUAAAUUCAGUGGCGGCCUCGCCGUGAUCCCUUGCGUAGUAAUGCACCUCGCACCGGAGAGCGCCGUGGCCACGCCGUAAAACCCCCAAUUUUCAAUGGUUGACCUCGGAUCAGGUGGGAAUACCCGCUGAACUUAA
rnacentral:misc_RNA from 1 species